GCCAGUGUGGCAUAGUGGUUUCAGUGUUGGACUAGGACUCUGGAAACCAAGGUUCGAAUCCUGGCUCAGCCA
rnacentral:tRNA from 1 species